GUGUUAAAACACCACUCCUCGUACUGUCACCGAAGUUAAGCAACGUCGAGCCUGGUCAGUACCUAGAUUGGUGACGGCUUGGGAAUAUCACGUGCU